UAGGGAAUUGCAAUUAUUUCCCUUGAACGAGGAAUUCCCCAGUAAGCGCGAGUCAUUAGCUCGCGUUGAUUACGUCCCUGCCCUUUGUACACACCGCCCGUCGCUACUACCGAUUGAAUGGUUUAGUGAGGUCCUCCGAUUGGACCCGGUCCGGGCGGCGACGUCCGAGCCGGCGUCCGAGAAGACGAUCUAACUUGAUCAUUUAGAGGAAGUAAAAGUCGUAACAAGGUUUCCGUAGGUGAACCUGCGGAAGGAUCAUUA
rnacentral:ncRNA from 1 species